ACUGGCUCAGAUUGAACGCUGGCGGCAGGCCUAACACAUGCAAGUCGAGCGGAAACGACACUAACAAUCCUUCGGGUGCGUUAAUGGGCGUCGAGCGGCGGACGGGUGAGUAAUGCCUAGGAAAUUGCCUUGAUGUGGGGGAUAACCAUUGGAAACGAUGGCUAAUACCGCAUAAUGCCUACGGGCCAAAGAGGGGGACCUUCGGGCCUCUCGCGUCAAGAUAUGCCUAGGUGGGAUUAGCUAGUUGGUGAGGUAAUGGCUCACCAAGGCGACGCUGGUCCAGCCACACUGGAACUGAGACACGGUCCAGACUCCUACCAGCAGUGGGGAAUAUUGCACAAUGGGCGAAAGCCUGAUGCAGCCAUGCCGCGUGUAUGAAGAAGGCCUUCGGGUUGUAAAGUACUUUCAGUUGUGAGGAAGGGGGUAUAGUUAAUAGCGGUAUCUCUUGACGUUAGCAACAGAAGAAGCACCGGCUAACUCCGUGCCAGCAGCCGCGGUAAUACGGAGGGUGCGAGCGUUAAUCGGAAUUACUGGGCGUAAAGCGCAUGCAGGUGGUUCAUUAAGUCAGGGCUCAACCUCGGAACUGCAUUUGAAACUGGUGAACUAGAGUGCUGUAGAGGGGGGUAGAAUUUCAGGUGUAGCGGUGAAAUGCGUAGAGAUCUGCCAGUGGCGAAGGCGGCCCCCUGGACAGACACUGACACAAGCGUGGGGAGCAAACAGGAUUAGAUACCCUGGUAGUCCACGCCGUAAACGAUGUCUACUUGGAGGUUGUGGCCUUGAGCCGUGGCUUUCGGAGCUAACGCGUUAAGUAGACCGCCUGGGGAGUACGGUCGCAAGAUUAAAACUCAAAUGAAUUGACGGGGGCCCGCACAAGCGGUGGAGCAUGUGGUUUAAUUCGAUGCAACGCGAAGAACCUUACCUACUCUUGACAUCCAGAGAAGCCAGCGGAGACGCAGGUGUGCCUUCGGGAGCUCUGAGACAGGUGCUGCAUGGCUGUCGUCAGCUCGUGUUGUGAAAUGUUGGGCAACGAGCGCAACCCUUAUCCUUGUUUGCCAGCACGUAAUGGUGGGAACUCCAGGGAGACUGCCGGUGAUAAACCGGAGGAAGGUGGGGACGACGUCAAGUCAUCAUGGCCCUUACGAGUAGGGCUACACACGUGCUACAAUGGCGCAUACAGAGGCAGCAAAAAAGUGCGUCGUANUCCGGAUUGGAGUCUGCAACUCGACUCCAUGAAGUCGGAAUCCCUAGGUGACCCCGGCCUUGUACUAU
rnacentral:rRNA from 1 species